UUUCAAGCUUUUCUUGGUUUGAAAUAAUCUCGGGCUAACUCUCUCUGUGGUUAACUCUAACGUAUCAGGUUACAAGCAAUAAUCCAGGUUGCCAUUAACGUCGUCUUUGUUGCCGGUGAGUUCUUCUACGACUAAUUUACUUUGCUUCCCCGUGUUUGCCUGAUUCUUCAAAUUUCCAAACUAGUAGUUUGAUCAGAAUUUAUAGUGUGAAAAACAGAGUAUUGCCUGUACGUGUCUAAUUCUGACCUCGAAAAGGCCAUAUUAAGGACGUUGGGCAAAGGUGCAGCAACAUUUCUAAGCUUUACAGGUGAUUAAUUACUUGUACUUGUGCUAAUUUUUUAUUUUUAUGUAUUAGAAUGAAGUUUACUGUUGGUAUAUAUAAUUAAGCAAUGAUAAUUGUCAAUAGUUGGACUGUUUUUAGUGUUUGUAUUAAGAAUUUCAUGAUGAUUAUGCUGAUCGGCUAUUGACCAUUGAAGCUGAUCAGCAUAGUUGGUCAAUCUUUUGUUCCUUUUGUGCUUUGAAUUGUAGGAGUUCUAUACAUUGAAGAAACCAGCUAUUCUUGACAAUAAAAGUGUUGUACAGGUAAGUGAUACCUUCUCAGUCAUUUUCUAAUAUUUAUUUUAACAAAGCAAUGUUGGUACUUUGUCAUUUUCUUAAAUCUCCUCAAUUAUGGCUUCUAAGCUAGAAGUUCUAAAUUCUGGGUAUGUUUAAUGAAGGGUUGGUAAACCUGAGAGGAAGAAGUCUCAGAGUUGGUAUGCAUUUUUAACAUCUGAACCAUCAUCAUAUUCUUACAUAUACUUAUGUCUAUAUUUACUAGCUAAUGCAAGCAGACAUUUGCAUUCUUUCUGUGCCUAGUUCAGUUUUAAGAUUUUGGUAACAGUUAUUUGAUAUAUGUGAUUUUAGAUUUGAGUUGUUCACAUUUGCAUUCUAAAGCUCAAAUAUUUAUAAAUUGAUCCACAUGUUUUAUAAUUUUUUUUUCUAUAUCAUUUACAUUUGAGUUGCAUAUUCUGCAUUACCUGUCGUCUGGCUUGCCUCUACUCAUUCAUAUGGACUGAGGGAAGAUGAAUUGUGAAAAUGUCAUUUUAUCUUUUAACAGUACUUUUAAGUUUAGAAUAUAUGAUUAUUAGUAGGCAAUUAUUAUUAUCUUCACCUUGCAAUCUUAUAGUAGCUAUAAACAUAUUUCGAACUGUUGCAUGUGUUCAAAAGGCAGAGUGUUGAUGAUAAAGUUCAGAGAAGAAGACAUAAGGCAUAUCAUUAUGCUCUUGGUCAUUGGACGUUGGCUGUUGUGA
rnacentral:lncRNA from 1 species